ACUCAAAGGAAUAGACGGGGGCCCGCACAAGCAGUGGAGCAUGUGGUUUAAUUCGAAGCUACGCGAAGAACCUUACCAGGUCUUGACAUCUGUAUAAUCCCCCAGAGAUGGGGGAGUGCCCUUUGGGAAAUACAAGACAGGUGGUGCAUGGUUGUCGUCAGCUCGUGUCGUGAGAUGUUGGGUUAAGUCCCGCAACGAGCGCAACCCUUGAUGUCGGUUGCCAGCAGGUAGAGCUGGGCACUCCGGCGUGACUGCCGUAGAGAAUACGGAGGAAGGCGGGGAUGAUGUCAAAUCAUCAUGCCCUAUAUGACCUGGGCUACACACGUGCUACAAUGGGGUGAACAACGGGAGGCGAGCCUGCGAAGGUAAGCGGAUCCCUAAAAACACCUCUCAGUUCGGAUUGCAGGCUGAAACUCGCCUGCAUGAAGUCGGAAUUGCUAGUAAUCGCGGAUCAGCAUGCCGCGGUGAAUACGUUCCCGGGCCUUGUACACACCGCCCGU
rnacentral:rRNA from 1 species